AGCAAUAGCUGUAUAAUUCAUACAUGUAGCACAGCAUUAAACUCUGAAGAAAGCAAUCUUGUGUCUAUGUCUAACCAUCUGAAUUACACGUAUCACUCUGUAUGCAGAAAUGUACAGCAGAAAUGUGCCAAGGCACACAGGUGUGCUCGUACAAUUACAAAAAAAAUUUAAAACACAAAACACUGUGUGCUAAAGCACGUAGUUAAAAAGCAACCCAGGUCUUUUCCUGUAUUAUACCUGUGCAAAUUCUAUAGCUGUCCCUCUAGCCCAGAGAAAAGAAUAUUUUUAAGAAAAGUUAUAAAACAGUUUAAAAUGGACAGAAUCCUGAGUUUUCCUACAGGGCAGAAGAAACUCAGAUGCCACAGGACACACUUGAGUGCCUGUACUGCUGCAAGCACAGGAGACCAGCAGCCACGGGUGGGGGUCCGGAAUGUCACUGGUACCUCCAGUGACAGGACUAGAAUCUGACUUGGAUUGUGGCACCUCUGAAAAAAACAGGAAAGAGCAUGCUCUGCGAUUACCAAUCUGCCCGGGUCCCCAAGUCCUGUGUGUGCCUUCUCAUGUGAUCAUGAAGAAUUCUGAGCGACACACUCACCAAGAAGGGAUGCAUUUGGAAUUAUUUUAUAAACAAAAUUUCAGACAGAAAAAGAAGCAACAUGAAUUUCUGCCUUGAAAUUGUACGAGUAGAUAAUAAAAAAAUGAGCCAAAAUAGUCACUUCCAGCCUUCUUC
rnacentral:lncRNA from 1 species